rnacentral:rRNA from 1 species
GUGAGGAAUAUUGGACAAUGGCCGAGAGGCUGAUCCAGCCAUGCCGCGUGCGGGAAGACGGCCCUAUGGGUUGUAAACCGCUUUUGCGAGGGAGCAAUAAGGUCUACGUGUAGACCGAUGAGAGUACCUUACGAAUAAGCAUCGGCUAACUCCGUGCCAGCAGCCGCGGUAAUACGGAGGAUGCAAGCGUUAUCCGGAUUUAUUGGGUUUAAAGGGUGCGUAGGCGGAAGAUUAAGCGUGAGGUGAAAUGUCCGGGCUCAACCUGGGAACUGCCUCGCGAACUGGUUUUCUGGAAUACCCCUGCCGUGGGAGGAAUGUGUGGUGUAGCGGUGAAAUGCAUAGAGAUCACACAGAACACCGAUUGCGAAGGCAUCUCACGAAGGGGCGAUUGACGCUGAGGCACGAAAGCGUGGGGAUCAAACAGG